CACCCUGGGGUGACAGUUAGCCACCCUGGGAUGCCUGUUACCCACCCUGGGCCGACAGUUAACUACACCGGGGUGAUAGCUUCAGAGAGCAUGGAACAGGAGGCGAGCUAACUCUGCCAUGCAGAGUUUUACAAACCUUCGCUCAGAGUAAGUACACUUCGUCCAAACCCAAGGAGAUUUGAGUGGAAGUUUGUCAACCUAGACAGAGGGACGGACUGCAGUAUAGGUGCCAAGACCUUAUUAAUGCCUGUAUUUAAAGAAGAACUUCAUGGCUGGAAGACAGAGUAUCUGACAGGCAAAGACAGAAGAAGAAAGCGUCCUGGGGAAUGGGGUGGCUCUUUAAGACUGGCAGACAAUGGUUACUCCACAGGGAGAAUGAGGAUAAGAAGGUGAUCUCUCUCUUCUAAAG